rnacentral:rRNA from 1 species
UACGUAGGUCCCGAGCGUUGUCCGGAUUUAUUGGGCGUAAAGCGAGCACAGGUGGUUUAUUAAGUCUGGUGUAAAAGGCAGUGGCUCAACCAUUGUAUGCAUUGGAAACUGGUAGACUUGAGUGCAGGAGAGGAGAGUGGAAUUCCAUGUGUAGCGGUGUAAUGCGUAGAUAUAUGGAGGAACACCGGUGGCGAAAGCGGCUCUCUGGCCUGUAACUGACACUGAGGCUCGAAAGCGUGGGUAUCGAACAGG